AGAAUCAACGCUGGCGGCGUGCCUAACACAUGCAAGUCGAACGGGAAAGUGGAGCAAUCCAUGAGUAUAGUGGCGACCGGGUGAGUAACACGUGACUAACCUACCCUUGAGUGGGGGAUAACCUCGGGAAACCGGGGCUAAUACCGCAUAACAUCUUCGGGAUGAGAAGCUGAAGAUCAAAGGAGCAAUUCGCUUUCGGAGGGGGUCGCGGCUGAUUAGCUAGUUGGCGGGUAACGGCCCACCAAGGCUUUGAUCGGU
rnacentral:rRNA from 1 species